UGGGGAAUUUUGCACAAUGGGGGAAACCCUGAUGCAGCGACGCCGCGUGGAGGAUGAAGGCCUUCGGGUUGUAAACUCCUUUUGUAAGGAACGAUGAUGACGGUACCUUACGAAUAAGCCACGGCUAACUCUGUGCCAGCAGCCGCGGUAAGACAGAGGUGGCAAGCGUUGUUCGGAAUCACUGGGCUUAAAGGGCGCGUAGGUGGUAGUGCAAGUCUGGGGUGGAAUCCCAGGGCUUAACCCUGGAACUGCCUUGGAAACUGUAUUACUUGAGUCAGUGAGGGGAGGGUAGAAUUCCUGGUGUAGCGGUGAAAUGCGUAGAUAUCAGGAGGAAGGCCUGUGGCGAAGGCGGCCCUCUGGCGCUGAACUGACACUGAGGCGCGAAAGCGUGGGGAGCAAACAGG
rnacentral:rRNA from 1 species